GAUGAACGCUGGCGGCGUGCCUAAUACAUGCAAGUCGAGCGAACAGACGAGGGGCUUGCUCCUCUGACGUUAGCGGCGGACGGGUGAGUAACACGUGGAUAACCUACCUAUAAGACUGGGAUAACUUCGGGAAACCGGAGCUAAUACCGGAUAAUAUAUUGAACCGCAUGGUUCAAUAGUGAAAGACGGUUUUGCUGUCACUUAUAGAUGGAUCCGCGCCGCAUUAGCUAGUUGGUAAGGUAACGGCUUACCAAGGCAACGAUGCGUAGCCGACCUGGGAGGGUGAUCGGCCACACUGGAACUGAGACACGGUCCAGACUCCUACGGGAGGCAGCAGUAGGGAAUCUUCCGCAAAGGGCGAAAGCCUGACGGAGCAACGCCGCGUGAGUGAUGAAGGUCUUCGGAUCGUAAAACUCUGUUAUUAGGGAAGAACAAAUGUGUAAGUAACUAUGCACGUCUUGACGGUACCUAAUCAGAAAGCCACGGCUAACUACGUG
rnacentral:rRNA from 1 species